rfam:Otolemur garnettii contig060771, whole genome shotgun sequence.
GGUCAGUCAUAUAAUUAAUCAUGGCAUGCAUUAGCUAAAUCCAAAGUUGAUGUGAGUUUUAAAAUUACACGGAGACCUU